AACGAACGCUGGCGGCAGGCCUAACACAUGCAAGUCGAACGGCAGCGGACCUUCGGGUGCCGGCGAGUGGCGAACGGGUGAGUAAUAUAUCGGAACGUACCUUUCAGUGGGGGAUAACGUAGCGAAAGUUACGCUAAUACCGCAUAUUCUGUGAGCAGGAAAGCAGGGGAUCGCAAGACCUUGCGCUGAUUGAGCGGCCGAUAUCAGAUUAGCUAGUUGGUGAGGUAAAGGCUCACCAAGGCGACGAUCUGUAGCGGGUCUGAGAGGAUGAUCCGCCACACUGGAACUGAGACGCGGUCCAGACUCCUACGGGAGGCAGCAGUGGGGAAUUUUGGACAAUGGGCGCAAGCCUGAUCCAGCCAUGCCGCGUGAGUGAAGA
rnacentral:rRNA from 1 species